rnacentral:ncRNA from 1 species
CCUUAUCAAGAGAGGCGGAGGGACAGGCCCUGUGAUGCCCGGCAACCUGUAAGCGUUGUCCUUGUGGACAACCGUAAACAAGGUGCCAAUUCCUGCGGUGUAAACCGAAAGAUGAGG